rnacentral:rRNA from 1 species
CCUACGGGUGGCAGCAGUGAGGAAUAUUGGUCAAUGGGCGUAAGCCUGAACCAGCCAAGUAGCGUGAAGGAUGAAUGCCCUAUGGGUUGUAAACCUCUUUUAUAAAGGAAUAAAGUGAGGCACGUGUGCCUUUUUGUAUGUACUUUAUGAAUAAGGAUCGGCUAACUCCGUGCCAGCAGCCGCGGUAAUACGGAGGAUCCGAGCGUUAUCCGGAUUUAUUGGGUUUAAAGGGAGCGUAGGUGGCCUUUUAAGUCAGUGGUGAAAGUUUGUGGCUCAACCGUAAAAUUGCAAUUGAUACUGGAAGUCUUGAGUAUAUUUGAGGUAGGCGGAAUGCGUGGUGUAGCGGUGAAAUGCUUAGAUAUCACGAAGAACCCCGAUUGCGAAGGCAGCUUACUAAGCUGCCACUGACAUUGAUGCUCGAAAGCGUGGGGAUCAAACAGGAUUAGAUACCCCUGUAGUC